AUGUACAGAAAUAUACAUGUAUUUUUUAAGAGUCAGGGACAUACCAUUUUUAAAAAUAUUUACAGCAUUCUUUUUAUUGAAACAAGAGCAAUGAAAGUCCCUGAAAAAUGGAUGACACUCUGGUCCGUGAAGCCCAGAGUUUGUUUGGCCCAGGACAUUCGAGAAGUGUUGGAAACUGGCAUGCCGUGUGGUGCAGCGGGCCACAGGGAUGACGGGACUCUAGCAAAGAGGCUCAGACAGCCUACCUCUAACACCGGAUCCAGAAUCAUCUUCACACGGAAAGGAGGAUUAUUCCAGAAUAAUGCAAUCUCAUGGCACAUUAAAAAACCCGAGGAUUCUUAGAGAAUGACCACUGAUAUUCAGCUGUUCAUACUCCAUCCUCGGCACAAUGCACCAUUAUCCACAGGGCCUUAUGCUGCCCCUGCCUCCCCGGGGAGUGCUGGAGCCUAGACCCCUAACCGGAUUCCGAAAUCUAACAACAGAUGCUCAUCUUGAAUCUUUAAGGACGGAAGUUCCAGGCCAGGGAGGAGGUGGAGAGGUAAGAACACAAAAAGCCUGGUCGCCUGGUGGUGCCAACCUCCUCUCUGUAAGUGGCGCCAUUGGUUGGUGGCGGUGACGACACGGUUGUCAUAAGGGUUAAGUAAGAUAGUGCAGCCACCGACUGGGCACCCAAGCUCUCGUUUUUAGAACACUCGAUCCUAAAAAAAAAAAAAAAAUAGAACACUCAAUUCUAAGAUAGUUUUUGUUUGUUUAUUUGUUUAAUUCCAUGUCCUGUCACCAGAGUGUGAAGCCACACCCUUACCUGAGCCUUGCCUUCGGAAUAUUUGCCAGCCCCCCCAGGAAACUCGUUCUUUUAAAGAGAGAGAGAGACAUGAUAUGAUUUAUGUUUUUAUUUAUUUUUAUUUUUUUAAGAUUUUAUUUAUUUGAGAGAGGCAGAGAGAGCACAAGCCAGGGGCAGGUGGCAGAGGGAGAGGGAGAAGCAGACUCCCUGCUCAGCAGGGAGCACCAUGCAGGACUCGAUCCCAGGACAAGGGGCUCCGUCCCAGGACCUCGAGAUCAUGACCCGAGCUGAAGGCAGACGCUUAACUGACUGGGCCAUCCAGGCGCCCCAGGAAACCCAUUCUUUAGAGGUAGCUAUCACCCUUGUCAGAGAAGCUGUCUGUGGGCUGCUAAACGAUUUUUUGACAGACUGUAGAUCAACUUCGUGCUCAACGGAUUUUCUAUGAUGGAGGAGAUCUUCACGUACCCUGAGCUCAGCAGACAGCUCCCGGAGAAAACCCUUGGAAGAGAGAGGGUUGAGUCCCCAUGGCCAUUUUUGCAAAACAGGACAUUCAUCCCAAAU
rnacentral:lncRNA from 12 species